rnacentral:rRNA from 1 species
AGCUCCAAGAAUGAACAUACACGCUGUUGCAGUUAAAAAGCUCGUAGCCGAAUUUAAAUUACGCGUUGACGGGUUUUCAAAUUUUUUAAUUUGGGUCGUUGAUGUGUGUUUUGUGAGAGCGUGGCCGUGGUGUGUGCGUUAUUAAGCAGAUUGAUUUCUCGCCCAAGUGCACACUCGGUCUCCCGGUUAAAAAGGAAAACGCGUUCUCCGUUUACUGUGUCCAAAUCAGAGUGCUCAAAGCAGGCUUUUAGGCUUCUGAAUGUUCUACAUGGGAUGAUAAGAUACGAUUUGCGUUCUUUUGGUCUUUUUGGGGCGCAACUAAUAAUUAAUAGGAGCGGUUGGCGCUGUUUGAACUCUGAAGCUAGAGGUGAAAUUCUUGGAUUUUCGGAUGACAAGCAAA